rnacentral:rRNA from 1 species
CCAAUAGCGUAUAUUAAAGUUGUUGCAGUUAAAAAGCUCGUAGUUGAAUUUCGGGUUCAAUAUGUUGGUCGUGCCUUGGUACGUACUAGUUUAUUGGUUUCUUCCUUCUGACGAACCAUGAUGUCAUUAAUUUGGUGUCAUGGGGAAUCAGGACUGUUACUUUGAAAAAAUUAGAGUGUUUAAAGCAGGACCACGCUUGAAUACAUUAGCAUGGAAUAAUGAAAUAGGACGUUUGAUUCUAUUUUGUUGGUUUCUAGGAUCGACGUAAUGAUUAAUAGGGAUAGUUGGGGGCAUUAGUAUUCAAUUGUCAGAGGUGAAAUUCUUGGAUUUAUUGAAGACUAACUACUGCGAAAGCAUUUGCCAAGGAUGUUUUCAUUAAUCAAGAACGAAAGUUAGGGGAUCGAAGACGAUCAGAUACCGUCGUAGUCUUAACCAUAAACUAUGCCGACUAGGGAUCGGAUGAUGUUAAUUUUUUAAUGACUCAUUCGGCGCCUUACG